ensembl:processed_transcript
CAGCCGCCGAUUUAGCGCGCCCGCUCUUCAACUUGUGAUGCUUAGUGCAAACCUUUGGCACCUGCUAACUCCCUGCUAACGAGGGUGAUCCAAAUCUGUGUGGACCAGCCCGGACAAUUCAAAACUAUAACUCAGCAAUUGACCGCAUCCAAGCAGAAGGAGCACAAGACGUGGAAGGAGUAAAAUUCAGAAUGGAUGACGUAGAGCCAAGCAACAUAAGCAGUGCCAUUACUAAUGUGUUACCAGACCUACCAACCUCAAAUCUAAAUAUUGUAUUGGAGACAUUACAAUCUUUAGGUGUGGGAGCCACUGAAGAUUUACAGUAUAUUAAGGAAGCUGAUCUGCUCACAGUACUGAGACCAGUUCAAGCUAGAAAACUGUUGGCUGCAUGGAAACAAUCCA